UACGAAGGGGGCUAGCGUUGCUCGGAAUCACUGGGCGUAAAGGGUGCGUAGGCGGGUCUUAAGUCAGGGGUGAAAUCCUGGAGCUCAACUCCAGAACUGCCUUUGAUACUGAGGAUCUUGAGUUCGGGAGAGGUGAGUGGAACUGCGAGUGUAGAGGUGAAAUUCGUAGAUAUUCGCAAGAACACCAGUGGCGAAGGCGGCGAUCUGGGAAGAUACUGACGCUGAGGUGCGAAAGCGUGGGGAGCAAACAGG
rnacentral:rRNA from 1 species